ensembl:lncRNA
UGAACCUGGAUAAUCAACACUUGUGGGAAGAAGUAACUAGGGAUGACUAGGAAAACACAGACUUCCUGAAAUCCUGACAGAGACUCUCCUGUUUUGCUCACUCCCUACAGCUAGUGAUACAUGUUGGAAUGAAAGAAAUCAAGGCCAUUUCACUAACCAUCGCCAAGACAUCAAGAUUCACUACACUGCUACAUAGCAGCACUCCAUUUAAAGAAAAGUUUGAGGCUGUGUUUGGAAUGGGAAAGUCUGUUCCCACAGCAAAUGCCACUCGCUGGAAUAGCACAUUCAAACAAAUCCAGGCCCUCAAAGUCCUUGACCACAAGGCUCUCACAGAAAUGUGCAUUGUGGACUUUGAAAAUGUGAAAUUUUACCUCCCGUGAAUGGAACCAAUUGAAAGAUUUGAGUGCAGUUCUUUCACCUUUCUCUGAGUCAACUGAACUUACUGAAGGAAAGGAGUCUGUCACCAUCAGUAUGGUGGUUCCUACAGUCUUGGAUCUAAACACUCACCUGGUCCAGAUGGAGCAGUCAAGAGCGCUACAACAGUCCUUACUAAAAAGAUUCUCAGGAAUCUUUGUGUGAACAAAAAUGGCCAAUAAGAGUGAGAGAGAGGAUCCUUUUGGCCAUGAUGUGUACUUUCUUGCUGCCAUGCUGGAUCCACAGUUUGGCCUCAGCUGGAUUGAUCUUGAUGAAUGAAAAUGCAACAUUGCAAAAUAAGUUUCGAGAAGAUCUGAAGAGAACACUCAUAGACACCUUGGUUGCUGACCUUGAGACCAUGGUCGAUGCAGUGACACUACAGAAUUUGGUAGCAGAAACAGAUUCACCCAAAGAUUCUCUCCUGUCCAAAUGUCCUCUGCUAAGGUCAAUUUAGUAUUUUUAUUGUUUGCAAUUACUUUAUCAUUAAUAUAAUGACAUUAUUGUUUGUUAUCCCUUUGCUGCCUUGAAAUCAGUACUGUUUGCAGUUGUGACCAUUCAAAUAAAUGAUUGUUUUUUAUAUGAUCACUAUAAACUUUCCAGUAGUUAUUUCUAUACCACAUGAAGGGCUUUUGUUUUACGUAUCUG